rnacentral:lncRNA from 1 species
CACCUCCACUCUAUCUCCCUCAAUCUAGUAGAAACUAGAAGAUCUAUUUCUACUUACAUUGGUUGCUAAGCCUAAAAAGAAAUAUUAUUUAGAGAAGAGGUUUUCCUUCGAGGGCACCCAUCAAUCUCUAUGAUAAUUUCUUGUCUCCUCCAGGGGCCAGGGGCCUUGCUUAUAUAGUCCUCCUCCUUUGUGCGUUUUUGGUUCAGCAGGCGAUGUGGUACUAAACUUUCCACCAUAUCUCAUUAAAAUGCACAUAGGCCUUAAUGGACCAAAAUCUGAUUUGGGCCCAAUUAAUCCCGCAGCUCUUUUAUGUGGAGUUCUUCUUUUAUUAAUAUCUCUUGAUUCCGAACUCCAAAUAUAGCAAAUAAUAUAUGCAUUUCGAUCAGCUCGACAAGAUCUUUGCAAUGGUGUACUCCAUUCUAUGAUUGGUGGAAACACCUAGGCGGGCGCCCAAGGGGGGAGGGCGGGCGCCCUGCCCCCGGGCCCGGCCGGCCUCUCGUUCGUUCCUGUGGCUUCUCGACUCUUCUAGAUGAUAGAAAAUUACGCGGCACGUUAAUAUCUCUAUGUAAACCCGACGUGUGGGCCUUUCCUCCAUAUUUCCUGAUAACCCCCUGCAGAAAUAGACAAACACCAAAACUCGUAGAAUUCUAUUAGAUAAAACCCUAAGUCUGGGUGUUGGUUGUAUUUGGAUCCUUUUAUUUAUUUAUUUGAUGAUUAUAUUUGGUACUUAAGGACCGUCAACAACUCCCCCAAGCUUACCUCUUGCUCGUCCCUGAGCAAGGAUGAACUCAAGAGUUUCUGCAGUGGUUUCAUGCCUUAAAAGUGCACACGCAUUCAGGCAAUAUCUCAUCUCUGAGUUAGAAUAAACUGUUAAGACUUAAAACUUACUCAUUUUACCUUUCACCAUGGGGCUUGUAACCAUCACUUGUGUCUUGAGUAGUUAAAAGAUAGAACGGUCAAGUCAAGCGCCAUGUCUCUUAUUCUUGAUCAGCUAUAGCUCUGGAGUUUUUGCAGAUUUUCAAAUAAAACUAAGAGAUUCCUUGUAUGACUCUCUUAGAUCUCUCUUUUGUGGUAUUUCUGGAUCCUUUCCAAGGCAGUAAUGGUAUAUGCCUUCUCUCAAAAUAUGUGGUAUUUGUGGUAUGAGGCAUAGUGAUAUUGCCUUCUCUUUCAUCCUACUCUAAUAAGGUUUUGAUAUCUGGAGCUCAUAGGUGGGAGACAGCUAAUACAUACUUACAAGACAUUUAUUGCAUAGUCAAACCAUGGAUCCAGAGAAACAAGUCAAUAAGUCAAAUCAAGAUGUGCAUGUGUGGCGAAUGAAUGGUGUAUGGUGAUGAUGGUGAUAACAAUGGUGAAAGUCUAAUUCUAUUUUUGCUCUUUUAAGAGAAUACAUACCUUUCUUGCACUUUGAAGCUUUUUGGGGAGAAUGAGAUGCUCUAUAUUUUCUUUUUCUUUCCUCUCAGGUGGGUAUCUUGUAACCCUAAUUCUACUGUCGGACACUUGUCCAUUUUUACCUCUCGUCUCACUUUUUCUUUUCUUCGAGGUUCCGGGCACUUGCCCCUUUUUAUUUCCUCGUAUCCUUUCUUUCUUCUCUUUUUUUUUCUUUUUUUUUACUAGAGCACUCAUCUCUUGAAAUAAUAUAGCAAGUGGUAGUUACGAAAAUAACUGGAGCAUUUAUUUCACAGGGAAUAACAGGGAUAGGAAAAUGUUUUUGGCUAUUCUCUCCCGGAUUAGGAGUAGAAUAAUUUUGGGUGAAUCUGGAGAUGGAAAUGAGUGGAUAUAUGUGGAUGGUACUUCCGGAGUAGAAGUAGCAUGUAUGAGUGAACGUGCAAGUGAAUCUUGAUUUUAACCGCAUGACAAGCUCCUUAGGGUCUACACAGCUUGACCACACUCAAUGCUCAUAAGCAGUAAAAGUAAAUGUGUGGCUCAAAGUCUAAUAAGCAUGUUUAUAUGGUUGUGGUAGGAAUUUAAACUCUCAUCAUACAGGAACUCAUCAUGUGUUAUUUUAAAGAUUUUCAAAGAUAAAAUUCUACAGAAUUCUAGCAUCUCUAGGAACAGAUAAACAACAGCUCAACCUUCCCAUAUCAUAUCCGUUAACAACUUAGACUUUAGAUCAAGUACUCUUCCCACAAGUUCAGGUUUAGAGCAAAUCUUAAUUCAUAACAGUCAUACCUAAACUUGAGAGAGAUUUCAAUUUUAAGAAGUAGUCAUGGCAGAGCAACUAUUCAUCAUUUCCAUGUGAGAGCUUAUCAUGAGGGUUCAUAGCAAACUUUAUUUAUUUAUUUAUUUAUUUAGCAAACUAAGCAAAGAUAUAUAUAAAAGCACAAAAUCUUUAUUUGGGUUUUCAUGAUUAUGCAUCUUUUUAUUAUUUGAGUAAAGUAUAAACGCGAGUGGAAACACUUAGCUGGAUAAAUGGGGGUGCUCUCCCCCAAGCUGGAUUUUGACGUAAUUUCUUCUGAUGUAGCAAACAAGUGAUGGAGGUGUAUUUGAAUGUUGGCACAACCCUGACAGCGAUUAGAAUGUCCUCCGUCUGCUAGUCUUCUUUGAUCCUUGAAUUCUGUGGAGCUCAAAUAGUCAACAAAGCUUUGUGGAACUGGUUAAGUGUUAGCAUAAAAUCUCUUUGCCUUUAUCAUACUGAGCUUCCUCCUAAUAAAUUUUAUUUAGCAGGAUCAUGCACUUAUUAUUUAAAUUUUUAUUGUAAGAUAAAAACAUAUUUAUUUUAUGCCACCACAGUCAAUAUACCUAUGGGUUUUUAAACCACAAGUCUACUCACAUGGGGCUUCCUAUUUUUAAUAUUUUUAUUUUCUUUUCAAGAUAGCAUGAACCUGAUUAACUAAGCAAACUAUUGAAUGGAAAAGGAUAACUACCAAGUUUACCUCUUGGCAAGGCGUUCGGUGUUUUUAAGUCCUCCGAAUGGGACUCUCUGUUUUCUCAAUCGUCCUGGGAUUUGUUGGAUGGCGUAGUCGGUGGUUCCAGCGGCUAUAACUAUCUUCUCUUUCCACAUCUGACUCGGUGCUACGGUCUCCUCAGGACAGUUCUGUUCAAGCUGUAUGUCUUCAGACCUUACCACUUCUCCUUUGUAGUCUGCCAAUCCGUCCUUGAUGAUUUGCCUCCUCUGGUUGCGGUUGCGUUGUCUUCUUCUUGUCCUGACCUGCUUAGAGUCUUCAACUAUAUAGUUAGGGUCAGUAAAAUAGCGGCGUACCUUCUCAGAGGGAAAGUGCAUGUGGACUUCUCCGGUUCCAAUAUAGAUAAUGGCUUUGAUAGUGCUGAGGAACGGUCUUCCAAGGAUGAUGGGUGGAUCGUACUCAUCGUCUCCCAUGUCAAUGACCUGAAAAUCAUCUGGAGCUGAAUAUAUAUUGGUUGUAGGGGCAUGGUUCCAUGCAGGAGCUGAUAAGUGACUGCGGCCAUUAUGUUGUCGUUAGAUCCGGUGUCGUAGAAUGUUUUCUGAAAAGAGUAUCCAUUGAUUGUGCACUUGAUGCUUGGAACACCAGGGUCGUCCUUCUUGAUCAGGAAAGGCGACUUGAGUCGACGAUCUGGACCUCUUCCGACAAGGAUCCAAAGUUUUAAAUCUUCUGGACAAGACUUCUCAUUGUCUUCAUCCUUUAGGUGCAUCAUUUGAUUAGGUGUGGACCUUGACGUCUGCACUUCUUGAUACGGUGUCACCAUGUUCUUUGAUUGCCCAGCAGUUCGAAGUGCGGUGUUGGCAAUAUCCUGCUCAGUGUGUUUGUGCUCAUAGAUCCAAGUCCUUCACUUGGUGGAGUCUGGGAGUUGUAAAACUCAUCCAUGUUUUGCUUGAAGUGUACCUGUUCAUAGAGACAAGGCAGAGAUCAAGUGCAUGGGCCCUGUUGGUGAAAAACACUAAUAGAACCAAAAGUGUAUUUGUUCUUUUCUAACCUUAAACAUAGUGAGUAAGACAAAGUUGAUGGAUCAUGAGUGAAGCAUUUGAAGAAUUUGUCAGAUCAGAUUGCUCAACCUAAUGGAAAGAUAAUCUAUCUAUAUUUAUGUUUUGUUUAUAUCUUCCAAAGAUUGAAUGUGCAACAUUUUAGCUUAUAUGAUUAGGAGUGUGGGAUCACGAAGGUAGUACUAAGAACAAAGAUUAAAGGACUAAACAUGUUGAAUUAAUUGGGUUGGUUAAUUUGGAGUUACAAAUCAUACAUGUUUGUCUCUUUAUUUUAUGUGUAUGCCAGAACCAAGGAGAAGCUUAUAAAAGUGAUAUUCAAGUACUUUAAGAUGUUACCUUAAUUGAAGAGUGAUGGUACAGUAUCACCUUGUGGAAGCUUUCCUUUCUUAGCGGUUGUGCAUCGUGUUUGUGGCACCCUCCAUGGAUCAUCUCUUUCUGAUGAAUGAGCUAUGUCUUCCUUGUGCAAAUUGUUAACCUUCAUGUGUCUCUCUCUUUGUCUCCAAUGUGAGUUUAUCUCAGGACUUCCCAAAUUGAUGUUGAAAGUUUUUCUACGGGGGUUAGUCCGACAAAAUAUACCAAUGCCUACUCAAGCAAUUUUUAGUUCAGUAACCAAACUAGACUCCAUGUCUAAUCAGAUUAAGGAAGGCUAUUUAACCUAAGCACCACGCUUAAUUUAAAAGCCAAUAGAAGUAUGUGCAGUACUUCCAAACUAACACUUACUAGGAUAAACAAAGGUAGCGUGAUGGCAUUUAUAGAGAUCUACUCAAGUGGAGAUGAAGUAGUGUGAUUAGUAUUUAAUCAAUUGAGCAUGUCUCAAAGGUAAGGACAACCAACGUAGCAACAUGGCAAAAGAUGUUUUUAUGUAAAGUACUCCCCCAAGCUUGAAUUUUGCAAAACACAAGUUUGGAUGAAUUUAAUUCAAUGUUGUGUGAUGGUUGGUUGGACAUACCUUGCGCUUGUCAUUCCUCAGAUCUUCUUGCUCCAAUCCUAGAAAGGUUAGUGACACGAAUACCCGAAGGAAUAUUUCUACAAUUAUCUUUAUAUGCUCAAUACACAAGGCAAUGUUGCAAAUAAUUAAAAGUUCAUAUUACGAUCUGAUCAGUGCUUGUUUUAGAAAACUAAGCUUGUCCUUGGGAAACCAUCAAUUUAUGUCGGCGAAGUGGUUUCCCUUCCAACACUGACCUAUAUCAAGAUCAACUCAACGAGAUCUGCAAUAUUUGUUAUAGACAUAUGCAUCGACAACCGCUCUUUUAAAGUUGUUAUAAAUAGAAAGGAAGAGGGGGUUGGAGAUCUCAAAUGUGGUAAGGUUGGAGAGACCAAUUGAUUGAAGAGAUGAUUUAUAUGAGCAAGGACUUGAUGAGGUAUUUAUGAAAUAACUUCCAUGCUCACUGUUGUUUCUCUCAUUCUCAAACUCCAAGGAUGAUUCUUCAUGAAUGCUUAAAAUUCCUCUAAGAUUGUCUCUCAAGUUUGUUUUAUCUAUCCAUUCAAUGGUGAUAGCACGUGGAUUUUUAAUGCCAUCUAGCCAUUGAUAUUGCUCUUCUUGAUCCUCCUUGUGGUCUUGGUGACUCUUAUGCAUGGGAUGUCUAGAGAGAUUCAUAGGAUCAUCGGGAGUAGAAAGAGCAUAGUAGAAAUUAUUAGGCUCAGGGAUGGGUUGGAUAGCCGAAUCAUGGGAUUGGAAUGUUUGGAAAUCGGCUAUUGAAACUUCCUUUCCUUGUCUGGGAGAUGAUUCCUUCUCUAUCUCUAAGAUUUUUCUAUGAAGACUAGUACAAGAAGGAUGUCCACAAAUGAAGACAUACCUUCCUUUACUAAUAGAUAAAGAAAGAAAGACUCUACCAAAGGUUAUAUGAUUAAGACCAAUGUGAAAAUAUCGAGAAAAAACAUGGUCUUGUAGGGCUAGGUCUAAACCAGAAUUUAUAGAAAAAUAAAGAGAUUCCCUAGGUGUAGCUAAAAGUGCAUUAUCUUCUUGAUUAAAAGAUAGGACCUCGGCUAUAGAAAAGGGUUGGUUUUGACCUAUUGCAAUCAACUCCGGACACAAAUCAUAAUUAGGGGCAAGACUUGUUGACUCCCAUGGUCUAUGGCUGGUCUCCGAAGGUGCAAAGAAUUCAAUAAUAGAUAUGGAAUUUAAGUUAUCCAUAAAGAUAAAAAUAAAAAGAUAAAAGAAUAAAAGUAUAAAAGUAUAAUACAAGAUAAUAGCAAGACUCAAAGUUAUCUCAGCAAACCGUCUUUCUCCCCGGCAACGGCGCCAGAAAUGCUUGUUGAUAUUUGGUAACGCAAUUAGAAAAUGAUCCGCAAGUGCACGGAUAUCGGUGAGCAUUUCACCCGGGAGGUUAUCCAGAGUUAUCGUAUUUAUAUUUUUACCACUGGGAGAAAGGGAGCAUCUGACUAACCAAAUCUAUUGCUACUAUCCCUUUAGGCUACAAAGAAUGUUUCUCGAUGUGAGUGAUGUAUAGAGAAGACUGCAACCCUAGUCUCGUUCUAACCUUGGUAAGGAUGAUCUACUGUUCUAUUGGCGAGGCUCACGGAAUCUAGACAACACAAAGGAUGUUCGACCCACACCUAUAAACCUACCCGUCCUGCUAACAAGAUAUGGGAUACAAAGGUAACUCGGAAAUGUCACGUUCCUCGCUACUACCACGGUCCAGCUAGUCAGGGGAUAUCUAUGAGUACCCUAGCCUAAACACCACGUUUACGCUAGCAAGUGAUUACUCUAAUACUCAACCGGAAGAGGAUUAAAGUAAACUCAUAAACCAAAGAACAAUAAAACAAGAACUUACUAGAAUUAGAAGUCCAAUUACUGAAGAAUCUUAGAAGCAAGCCUCGGGUUAGGAGACUUGAUCCCAUAGGUACAACUCGGAGUAGACACCGACAGGCCGGCCUUCCUCCGAUCUACACCUCCACUCUAUCUCCCUCAAUCUAGUAGAAACUAGAAGAUCUAUUUCUACUUACAUUGGUUGUUAAGCCUAAAAAGAAAUAUUAUUUAGAGAAGAGGUUUUCCUUCGAGGGCACCCAUCAAUCUCUAUGAUAAUUUCUUGUCUCCUCCAGGGGCCAGGGGCCUUGCUUAUAUAGUCCUCCUCCUUUGUGCGUUUUUGGUUCAGCAGGCGAUGUGGUACUAAACUUUCCACCAUAUCUCAUUA